rnacentral:rRNA from 1 species
GAAAGGGAAACGAUUGAAGUCAGUCGUACCUGCGGGUAAUCAGCCUUUUGGGCAUGAUUCUGUGGAGCGUGAGGAGUUAAACGCCUUCAUGCCUGCAUAUUCGUGUACUUUGGGUGUACUUGCCUGUGUGGUUAGUUAACAUCAAUUUUGGUUAUCAUAAAAUGGCUGGAGGAAUGUAGCUUCGAUUUCGAUCGAAGUGUUAUAGCCUUUGGCAGAUGUGAUGACCGGGAUUGAGGAUUGCAACGGAUACCCUUCGGGGCUACCUGUCUGAUCUCUGAUCGUUGCUCUGGUGCCGAAAGCUUGCUUACGGUUAUCAAAGUCGAUGGUCAACAGGUUAGAACGGGUUAAAUUCGUUAAGGAUGUUGACGUA